GACGAACCGUGCGAACGUUAUUCGGAAUCACUGGGCUUAAAGCGCGUGUAGGCGGCCCGGCACGUCGGACGCUGAAAUCCCCCGGCUCAACCGGGGAACGGGCGCCGAUACGACCGGGCUGGAGGGGGGUAGGGGGCGCCGGAACUUCCGGUGGAGCGGUGAAAUGCGUUGAGAUCGGAAGGAACGCCCGUGGCGAAAGCGGGCGCCUGGACCCCGCCUGACGCUGAGACGCGAAAGCCAGGGGAGCGAACGGG
rnacentral:rRNA from 1 species